rnacentral:rRNA from 1 species
CCUACGGGAGGCAGCAGUGAGGAAUAUUGGUCAAUGGGCGAGAGCCUGAACCAGCCAAGUCGCGUGAGGGAUGACGGUCCUAUGGAUUGUAAACCUCUUUUGCCGGGGAGUAAAACGCGGCACGUGUACCGCACCGCGAGUACCCGGCGAAAAAGCAUCGGCUAACUCCGUGCCAGCAGCCGCGGUAAUACGGAGGAUGCGAGCGUUAUCCGGAUUUAUUGGGUUUAAAGGGUGCGCAGGCGGCGAGUUAAGUCAGCGGUAAAAUUUCGGGGCUCAACCCCGACAAGCCGUUGAAACUGGCGUGCUAGAGUGGGCGAGAAGUAGGCGGAAUGCGUGGUGUAGCGGUGAAAUGCAUAGAUAUCACGCAGAACUCCGAUUGCGAAGGCAGCAUACCGGCGCCCAACUGACGCUCAGGCACGAAAGCGUGGGUAUCGAACAGGAUUAGAUACCCGAGUAGUC